CCUACGGGUGGCAGCAGUGAGGAAUAUUGGUCAAUGGGCGCGAGCCUGAACCAGCCAAGUCGCGUGAGGGAAGACGGUCCUAUGGAUUGUAAACCUCUUUUGUCGGGGAGCAAAAGACGCCACGCGUGGCGUUCCGAGAGUACCCGAAGAAAAAGCAUCGGCUAACUCCGUGCCAGCAGCCGCGGUAAUACGGAGGAUGCGAGCGUUAUCCGGAUUUAUUGGGUUUAAAGGGUGCGCAGGCGGAAGAUCAAGUCAGCGGUAAAAUUGAGAGGCUCAACCUCUUCGAGCCGUUGAAACGGGGGUGAGUGCGUGGGCGGGAAGUAUGCGGACUGCGUGGUGUGGCUGUG
rnacentral:rRNA from 1 species